rnacentral:lncRNA from 1 species
AGAUGAUUCUCCCUGGCCCCUUAAUGGCCUGGUUGUUGCUGUUAAUGAUGUGCCGUGCUGACGGUUGGCCAAAUCUUCAUUCUUGCUUUUUAAAUUAGGCCUUUCCUGGAGAGAUUUUAAUAUGUAUUUUGACCAACUAAAAGCUAAGAAAGGACUUCAUGACAUGACAUUUAUGGAUUUCAUUCUCAGGAAAUCCCGUACAUGAACUACAAGUGAUUGCAAAGGAGCCACCACACAGAAAGGCUAACUAAGAAAAAGCUCUGGAUCUUUCCCUGGAUCCCCUGACCCCGUGACAUCUUCUGAGGCAAGGAGCCCAUUGGAGGGUGAAAUAGGAUCUGGAUAAAUGUCCUGGCUGCUGACAUCACUGAUGAAAUAAUAAUGCCCCUACAGCCUCCCUUCUGUGGCAUAAUGACCCAAGGCUCAAAACUGCACGUGAAUCUGGGCUGAGCAAGCUAUGAACCAACUGAAUGAAAAAAGCAGCUCUUCAAGAAGCAAAACUCAUAUCCUUCACACAAACUCCCAUGCUCCAAGAAACUUUGGCUUCACACAGUACCAGAGGAACUUCUCAUAAACCACUCUGUGUUGGUUUAUGCAGUGCAAAUCCCACAGAAUAUAUUAAAAGAGCCUUACAGUUCAUUCACCACCAGCCAGCACUAUGUGAUUCAACUAGAUGGAAUCCUCCUUGUGAUACGCAUUCAGGGAGCCUAUGCAGUCCUAUAGUGUGUGUGCUGGGAGAGAAGUCAACUCUGUUAUGUAUAGAUUAACCCAAAGGCCAGCUCCAUGUGUGUCUAUUCUUGCUCAAAGCUUUAUCCACGUAAUGCUGAAAUACCUGUCUGAGUUUCUGUGUUCUCUAACAUGCCCCAUAUGCAGCCAGCAAGUCUCUAGCAAACUGUGUAGGUGAACUUCUGCAGUUAGCAGAAAAAUACCAGGCACAAUUCAGAAAACAUGCUUACUAGAGAUGUACUUAUGUUCCUAAAAUGCAACAAUGCCCUAUGCACCUGCCAUCUCCCCCGCAGAUACAUUGUACAAACUUACAACAUGCUCUUCACAUGCAUCCCUUCACAUCUUGUUAUGUAGACUAAAUUUGCCUAUUACAACACAACCCCCUCUCCAAAGCAAAGCUACAUGUUCUUAGUCCAUGAGUUUUACCGUAAGUCCCAUGAUCAUUUUGUGAACCUCCUGCUCCUGGAUUCAUGGGAACAAUAAAUAUCUCAGCAUGGGCUUUAGGUCUUACA